UACAGAGGAUGCAAGCGUUAUCCGGAAUGAUUGGGCGUAAAGCGUCUGUAGGUGGCUUUUUAAGUCCGCCGUCAAAUCCCAGGGCUCAACUCUGGACAGGCGGUGGAAACUACCAAGCUGGAGUACGGUAGGGGCAGAGGGAAUUUCCGGUGGAGCGGUGAAAUGCGUAGAUAUCUGGAGGAAUACCGGUGGCGAAGGCGGCAUCCUGGACCGACAUUGACGCUGAGGAGCGAAAGCUAGGGGAGCAAACGGG
rnacentral:rRNA from 1 species